AUAUAUUAUUUAGUUUGAGGCCUUGUGUGCCAGGCUUGAUUCUUAGUUAGCCAAAGUAGGCCUAAGAUUUUAAUCCCAGGUCAUAAAUUGUGCCAUCUUAUUCUGUGUAACAUACAUGCUGACCACAGAAGAACAGGUGUCAGAAGAUGGCAGAGCCUCAAUAAAACCUAAUGCCUUAACCAUAAAGCUGUCCCUGCUCACUGGAUGGAUACAGCAAACAUCCAGACGAGCAGCAGAAAUGCCCAUGAAGACAUCAUUGUGAAAUCAGUUUGGAUAAUACAUAAUUCAGUGCCUCCGAUUUGGCCCCUGAGGCAAUGGUGGUAUUUGAUAUAAUGGCUUUUACUCACAAGGGGGAAAUUAAUUGCCUCUUCCCAGAGAGUUGCUCUGAGCCAAAACUUCAUCUGCAAGAGGCAGAAUUCCCUGUAGGAGUCCUGAUUUUUAUUCAGAUUUCUGCCUGUCCUUUAUUAUUGCAACAACAAGAAUAAAGCCUCCUAAACAAAAUCGAGCCCUUUUA